AUUGAACGCUGGCGGCAGGCCUAACACAUGCAAGUCGAACGAGUGGCGGACGGGUGAGUAAUGUCUGGGAAACUGCCUGAUGGAUGGGGAUAACUACUGGAAACGGUAGCUAAUACCGCAUACCAUCAGAUGUGCCCAGAUGGGAUUAGCUAGUUGGUGGGGUAACGGCUAACCAAGGCGCAAAUCCCUAGCUGGUCUGAGAGGAUGACCAGCCCCACUGGAACUGAGAACCGGUCCAGCCUCCUACGGUAGGCAGCAGUGGGGAAUAUUGCACAAUGGGCGCAAUCCUGAUGCAGCCAUGCCGCGUGUAUGAAGAGGGCCUUCGGGUUGUAAAUUACUUUCAGCGGGGAGGCGUUACCCGCAUAAGAAGCACCGGCUAACUCCGUGCCAGCCGCCGCGGUAAUAC
rnacentral:rRNA from 1 species